rnacentral:rRNA from 1 species
CUACGGGUUGCUCCAGUGAGGAAUAUUGCACAAUGGGGGGAACCCUGAUGCAGCAACGCCGCGUGGAGGAUGACGCAUUUCGGUGUGUAAACUCCUUUUAUAUGUCAAGAAAAUGACGGUAGCAUAUGAAUAAGCACCGGCUAACUCCGUGCCAGCAGCCGCGGUAAUACGGAGGGGGCAAGCGUUACUCGGAAUCACUGGGCGUAAAGGACGCGUAGGCGGGUUGGAAAGUCAGGUGUGAAAUCCUACAGCUUAACUGUAGAACUGCACUUGAAACUUCUAAUCUAGAGUAUGGGAGGGGGAGAUGGAAUUAGUGGUGUAGGGGUAAAAUCCGUAGAUAUCACGAGGAAUACCUAAAGCGAAGGCGAUCUCCUGGAACAUUACUGACGCUAAGGCGUGAAAGCGUGGGGAGCAAACAGGAUUAGAUACCCUGGUAGUC